GCGCCGUAGGUGUAAGGCGAACAUCGCUGCCCGGAAAGCAGAAGAUGCGGGUUCGAGUCCCGCCUGGCGCA
rfam:Heligmosomoides polygyrus genome assembly, scaffold: HPBE_scaffold0003844